rnacentral:sRNA from 18 species
UAUGGAAUCAAGACGUAUUCCAAAUCUGUUUAAAAAACGAUCAACACACGCUGGCAGCGCGCCAAUCCUGGCCAAUACUUGAAGUGUUGGCGCGGCGCAUCCCCCCCAAGUGGCGCGCUGAUAAAGGUGCCCAGGGACCGUGUGCCUUUGUUUUACUCCUAAUGGUCUUAACCCGGAUUCCCCCCCCAGAACCCGG